UACGUAGGCAGCGAGCGUUGUUCGGAGUUACUGGGCGUAAAGGGUGCGUAGGCGGUUGGGUAAGUCUGACGUGAAAUCUCCGGGCCUAACCCGGAAACUGCGUUGGAUACUAUCCGGCUAGAGGAAUGGAGGGGAGACUGGAAUACUUGGUGUAGCAGUGAAAUGCGUAGAUAUCAAGUGGAACACCAGUGGCGAAGGCGAGUCUCUGGACAUUUCCUGACGCUGAGGUACGAAAGCCAGGGGAGCAAACGGG
rnacentral:rRNA from 1 species